rnacentral:rRNA from 1 species
AGUGAACGCUGGCGGUAGGCCUAGCACAUGCAAGUCGAACGGCAGCACAGUAAGAGCUUGCUCUUACGGGUGGCGAGUGGCGGACGGGUGAGGAAUACAUCGGAAUCUACUUUUUCGUGGGGGAUAACGUAGGGAAACUUACGCUAAUACCGCAUACGACCUACGGGUGAAAGCAGGGGAUCUUCGGACCUUGCGCGAUUGAAUGAGCCGAUGUCGGAUUAGCUAGUUGGCGGGGUAAAGGCCCACCAAGGCGACGAUCCGUAGCUGGUCUGAGAGGAUGAUCAGCCACACUGGAACUGAGACACGGUCCAGACUCCUACGGGAGGGCGCAGUGGGGAAUAUUGGACAAUGGGCGCAAGCCUGAUCCAGCCAUACCGCGUGGGUGAAGAAGGCCUUCGGGUUGUAAAGCCCUUUUGUUGGGAAAGAAAAGCAGCAGGUUAAUACCCCGCUGUUCUGACGGUACCCAAAGAAUAAGCACCGGCUAACUUCGUG